AUUAUUGCAUCUGUCCCAUAAUCUUUGCUGAGUCACAUUAGUGACUAGUCGGGGACAUGUGCCAUCAACAAAAUCAAUUUUGUUUUUAGCAGAUAACGCGACAAUUAUUUUCCUCCUCCAACCCCCAUAACCACUGCCCGAGAAGGGAGUGGGCACAAAAGAGACCCCAGGAACAUCAGAGGAGUAAACAAAAAGGGGGCUGGUAGAGUCCAUUGAGGAGGUACUAGCAUUCGUAUUAGAAGCCAUGACUAGUGAACCAGUUUGAAAAGAAAACAAUUUCGGUAAGCAAAAUAUAACGGAACCAGAUUUCACAUACAAAGCAUAUAAUACUCAAAAUAAGGACAGAGUUACCCUCCUUCUUCGUGACCGGAGAAGAUCUACCUUUAAUCAACAGAUAAAACCCUAGGUCCAACACCGGAAACCGUAGGUUCUGAAACUCACCAGAAUAAGGUCACAGACGUCGGAAAGUUACCCAAAACGUCUAUCAAGCGAAGACAAAGUCAUCAUAUAACAUCAAAACUUUAGGUCCAAAAAUCGGAAAACCCUAGAAUUUGAAGAACUCAUCGAAAUAAAGCCAGGGAUGCCGGAAAAUUACCCAAAACACCC
rnacentral:lncRNA from 1 species